rnacentral:snoRNA from 1 species
UGAUGAUGGUGAGGGCAAUUUCUGAGCAUACUCUUAAAUCUCUCCUAAGCUUGGUAGAAAUUCUCUUUUUCUUUCUAUGUGAAACUUAGAAUCUCACUUCGUAAUCG